CUUGAUGUGCCCUUGCUAAUAAAAAAGCAACUCUUCAUGAUUUUUGUAGAUUGAUUGUCAGAACUUGGUGCUUCAUCAUCUCCUCCCUGGAGAGAUACACGCCCCGAGAUUUUUGUUUGGUCGACAAUGCAGAUGCAAAAGGAGCGGUAGAAGUUUGGGGUCUGCAUUGUUUACUAAAAGGAAAGCUUUAUGAUUUUGCAAUCAGCUUUCCUAAAAUGUAAAGUUUCAUUUGUUAAUUUGUUCAACCUUUUGAGCCUUUGAUUUUAGCAUGUAGCUCCUGGUGAAGGAAGAAAUAAAUGAUGGUAAGAACCACCAGGCCA